AUUGAACGCUGGCGGCAGGCCUAACACAUGCAAGUCGAGCGAGCGGCGGACGGGUGACUAAUGUCUGGGAAACUGCCUGCUGGAGGGGGAUAACUACUGGACACGGUAGCCAAUACCGCAUACCAUCAGAUGUGCCCAGAUGGGAGUAGCUAGUAGGUGGGGUAACGGGCCACCUAGGCGACGCGCCCUAGCUGGUCUGAGAGGAGGACCAGCCACACUGGAACGCAGACACGGUCCAGACUCCUACGUGAGGCAGCAGUGGGGAAUAUGGCACAAUGGGCGCAAGCCUGAUGCAGCCAUGCCGCGUGUGAGAAGGAGGCCGUCGGGUUGUAAAGCACUUUCAGCGGGGAGGCGUUACCCGCAGAAGAAGCACCGGCUAACUCCGUGCCAGCAGCCGCGGUAAUAC
rnacentral:rRNA from 1 species